AUACAAGGAAUCUCUGAGUUUUAUUUGAAAAUCUAAAAAAACUCCAGAGCUAUAGUUGAUCAAAGAACAAGAGACAUGGCGCUUGACUAGACUGUUCUAUCUUUUAACUGCUCAAGACACAAGUGACGGUUGCAAGCCCCAUGGUGAAAGGUAAAAUGAGUAAGUUUUAAGUCUUAACAGUUUACUCUAACUCAGAGAUGAGAUCUUGCUUGAACGCAUGUGUACUUUUAAGGCAUGAAACCACUGCAGAAACUUUUGAGUCUAUCCUUGCUCAGGGACGAGCAAGAGGUAAGCUUGGGGGAGUUUGUUGAUGGUCCUUAAGUACCAAAUAUAAUCAUCAAAUAAAUAAAGAAAAGGAUCCAAAUGCAACCAACACCC
rnacentral:lncRNA from 1 species